rnacentral:lncRNA from 1 species
CAGAAAUGGGCGUGGCCAACGGAGAGACCUCUCCCACAGAGAACACCCAGGGAAUGGGACGGUGCUGUCAAGAGGACAUGGAGAAGAAAACUCUUGAACCAAGGAGGACUUAGAAACACGGAGGAGGACCUGGAUGUGCCCCCAUUUAUGAUGGCACUGGAGCCAGUGGCUUCUCUCUUGCUCGCUCUAGCUGUCUUUUCUUAAGCUCUGGGAAAGUGGUAUUUAGCUCUCAAUUUCCAGGGCUCUCAUUCUAUAUUUUGCCCCAAGGUUGUCGCUAAAUCCGGUUUGGUCAGCAUUAGGUAAGUAGCUCUUUGGGUGACUGAGUGGGGUGGAGUGAUGUCCAAUAAACAUCAAGGCACAAUGGGCAGAGCCACAGGAACCGGGACAUGGCAUGGAGCGAGCCGUGGCUGGUCCAGAGCAGGUGCA